GUCAGAUAAUAUCAAUGUAAAAGAAUGCCUGUCACAGGGAUUCUGAAGAUCUGUCCAGUAAGACUCACAAUGAAGUCUGUUUCCAAAUGGACUUUCCAUUAAACAUUGCUGAGUCCAACUCUGCAGUGCCUGCUACCGAUGAGCUACUUCUUAUUGAGAAAACGCUACCCAGGGAUGCAGACCAAUAUGAUAACCAAGAUGAAAAGAGCCUUGGACCAACCAGUUCUCCCCAGGAGCCAGCAGAAUACCAAGAGAGUGCAUCAUUCUGGCCAAAUUCUGAAGGAGGCUAAGCAUGUUUCAAAGAAUGGGAAGAAUACGUUUGUAAUAAAAUGUGUUUUUGAACCUGCUGUGAUGUUUCAAAAACACAGUUAUGCAUGUCCUAGGAGGCUGUGUGGAAUAGUAAUCGAAGCAAAGGACAAAAACCAGAAACAACUAUGGCUAAUCCUGACUGGGCCAUCUACAGGGCCUUUGACCUCCUGUUGACCUUUGACCUCCCUUGUGCAUUAGUUGGCCCUGCUCAAACCAUUGACAGAACCCAGAAGCUCUCCAGACAAGAACAUUUAGGAUGGAAACUCUUUUCUAAGUGCAUAUUACUGUCUGUUUUUCAGCCUUGGAUUAGCACAGGGUCCUUUUGGUCACUUCAUACAAGGCCUUUGUUUUUCUCAGUGAGUCCAAAUUAUUUUAGAUUUAGUGUUAGCACCGUUUCAUGCUGUAAAUUAAAAUGCAUCUUGAAUGAGCAAGUGCUUCCCUCCCAAGUGCUAGUAACUUUCCCA
rnacentral:lncRNA from 1 species